rnacentral:rRNA from 1 species
GAUGAACGCUGGCGGCGUGCCUAAUACAUGCAAGUCGAGCGAACGGACGAGAAGCUUGCUUCUCUGAUGUUAGCGGCGGACGGGUGAGUAACACGUGGAUAACCUACCUAUAAGACUGGGAUAACUUCGGGAAACCGGAGCUAAUACCGGAUAAUAUUUUGAACCGCAUGGUUCAAAAGUGAAAGACGGUCUUGCUGUCACUUAUAGAUGGAUCCGCGCUGCAUUAGCUAGUUGGUAAGGUAACGGCUUACCAAGGCAACGAUGCAUAGCCGACCUGAGAGGGUGAUCGGCCACACUGGAACUGAGACACGGUCCAGACUCCUACGGGAGGCAGCAGUAGGGAAUCUUACGCGAUGGGCGAAAGCCUGACGGAGCAACGCCGCGUGAGUGAUGAAGGUCUUAGGAUCGUAAAACUCUGUUAUUAGGGAAGAACAUAUGUGUAAGUAACUGUGCACAUCUUGACGGUACCUAAUCAGAAAGCCACGGCUAACUACGUG